AUUAUAAAUGGAUCCAUUUUUUUGACUUUUACUGGAGAUUCGGAAUAAUGGACUCUCUCUAGGACCCUCUUUUAUACCGGGAUUUAUCACUACGUUAGCUACGUUAUCAGCUCAACCAGUUACUCGAGAAUCUAAAUUAUCUUAUUUUCUGAUGUUAUGCAAUGUAUAGUGGUCAACUAGGAACAUUUUCUUCUUCUCAAGACAUUUUAACUUUUUUUUCAUCAUGUGGGAAUUAGAAUUAAUUCCCGUUUAUCUACUUUUAUCUAUGUGGGGUGGAAAAAAACGUUUGUAUUCAACUACAAAGUUUAUUUUGUACAAUGCGGGAAGUUUCUUGUUUUUUUUAUUACUGGGAAUUCUGGUAUGAUUUUCUAUAGUUUCUAAUGACCAAAUUAAAUUUUGAAUCAUUAACUAAUCAAUCAUAUCCCGUGGCACUGGAAAUAAUCUUCUAUAUGGGAUUUCUUUAUUGCUUUUGCUGUCAAAUCACCAAUUAUACCCUUACAAACUGGUUACCUGAUACCCAUGGAGAGGCGCAUUACAGCCCUUGUAUGCUUUAGCCGAAUAUAUAUUAAAAAUGGACAUAUGGUUGGUUCGAAUUAAUAUGGAGUUAUUACUCGCGCUCAUUCUAUAUUUUGUCCUGGUUAAUGCUAUUAGGUUCCAUUCAAAUAAUCUAUACAGCUUCAACUCUCUUAAUCACCGCAAUAUAAAAAGAAUAGUGCUUAUUCCUCGGUACUCAUAUGGGUUUUUCUUAAUUUAGGAAUUGGUUUCUAUAGAGAGAAGAGGGCUGAAUGGGGCUAUUUUACAAAUAAUCUCUCAAGGAUUUAUUGUUUGGUGCUGCCCUUUUUUUUCUUGGCGGGAACUAGUUAUGAUAUAGACUACGUCUCUUCUAUCUCGACGAAAUUGGUGGAAUGAGACUUAUGCAAAUCUGUUCAUCAUCAAAACUUCAUCUUUGAUUUUUGCUAACACCCCUUUUCAAAGGCUUCAGAUUUUGGCUCUCCGAACCUUCGAUGCUCUCCUCUUCUCUCUUCCCCGGGUUCGAUUGUGUCGAAUCGCGAUGCUCAGUCCCCUGCUUCUCUAAUAGUGAAGCAAAUAUACCAUGCGCUUCAACAAACGAUGAUAAGCCAAUUUGAUUGUUGACGGUGUGGACGUUAAUAAUGUACGUUCUCCUUGAAUCUCUGUUGGUUAAUUUGGUUAAAGUUUGGACGUUCUAACAAUUGGAGUCCAAGUUACUCUUAUAGGAAGGGUAUGCAACAAAGCCGAACGAGUUACUGAUGUUACGUUUGUGCUUGAUGAUGGUACUGGAAGAUUAAAUGUAAUAAAUGGUUUCAUGAAGCUACUGAUACAAAUGAAGCAGAGGCUAUCUUGUAUGCUACUGCAAUAUUGUAUUUGCUUUGUAUCUUUUCAUUUUGUAUUUAGGUUCGUUCGAUAAAAUUCUAAAAAAAUACUUAUAGGAAAGUAAAAUAAAAAAGAUGA